rnacentral:rRNA from 1 species
AUCGAUGAAGAACGCAGCGAAAUGCGAUAAGUAAUGUGAAUUGCAGAAUUCAGUGAAUCAUCGAAUCUUUGAACGCACCUUGCGCCUCUUGGUAUUCCGAGAGGCAUGCCUGUUUGAGUGUCAUUAAAUUCUCAACUUCAAAAGCUUUAUUGAUUUUGAAGCUUGGAUGUGGAGGCUUUGCCGGCUCUGUUGAAGAGUCAGCUCCUCUUAAAUGCAUUAGUGGAAACUGUUUGUAGGGUCCCACAUUAGUGUGAUAAUUAUCAGCGCUAUUGUGUCUACAAGCUCUCUGUAGUGUUCGAUUGGGAAGCUGCGCGGAGACGUGCUCUUUCUGUUUCAACUUGACCUACGGCUGAGUAUAGUAUCUGCUUCAAACUGUCCUAAGUCGCUGGACAACAUUUGACUAUUUUGACCUCAAAUCAGGUAGGACUACCCGCUGAACUUAAGCAUAUCAAUAAGCGGAGGAAAAGAAACUAACAAGGAUUCCCCUAGUAACUGCGAGUGAAGAGGGAAAAGCUCAAAUUUAAAAUCUGGUAGCUUCGCUGCCCGAGUUGUAAUUUAGAGAAGUGUUACCCGUGCUGGACCGUGUAUAAGUCUCCUGGGAUGGAGCGUCAUAGAGGGUGAGAAUCCCGUCUUUGACACGGACUACCAGUGCAUUGUGGUGCGCUCUCGAAGAGUCGAGUUGUUUGGGAAUGCAGCUCUAAAUGGGUGGUAAAUUCCAUCUAAAGCUAAAUAUUGGCGAGAGACCGAUAGCGAACAAGUACCGUGAGGGAAAGAUGAAAAGAACUUUGGAAAGAGAGUUAAACAGUACGUGAAAUUGCUGAAAGGGAAACGCUUGAAGUCAGUCGCGUUGACCGGGGAUCAGCCUUGCUUCUGUGAGGUGUACUUCCUGGUUUGACGGGUCAGCAUCAGUUUCGACCACUGGAAAAAGGCUUGGGGAAUGUGGCACCUUCGGGUGUGUUAUAGCCUCUUGUCGUAUACAGUGGUUGGGACUGAGGAACUCAGCACGCCGCAAGGCCGGGUUUCGACCACGUUCGUGCUUAGGAUGCUGGCAAAAUGGCUUUAAGCGACCCGUCUUGAAACACGG